AGAGUUUGAUCAUGGCUCAGAACGAACGUUAGCGGCGCGCCUAACACAUGCAAGUCGAGCGAGAAAGGGCUUCGGCCCCGGUACAGCGGCGCACGGGUGAGUAACACGUAGGUAAUCUUCCCUCGAGCGGGGGGAUAACCUUCCGAAAGGAGGGCUAAUACCGCAUAAGACCACGGCUCCGAAAGGGGCUGAGGUCAAAGCCGGCCACUAUACAUAAGCUGGCACUUGAGGAUGAGCCUGCGGCCCAUCAGCUAGUUGGUAGGGUAAUGGCCUACCAAGGCAAAGACGGGUAGCUGGUCUGAGAGGAUGAUCAGCCACACUGGAACUGAGACACGGUCCAGACUCCUACGGGAGGCAGCAGUGGGGAAUCUUGCGCAAUGGGGGCAACCCUGACGCAGCGACACCGCGUGAGUGAUGAAGGCCUUCGGGUUGUAAAGCUCUGUGGAGGGAGACGAAUAAGUGUUGGCUAACAUCCAGCAUGAUGACGGUAUCCCUUUAGCAAGCACCGGCUAACUCUGUGCCAGCAGCCGCGGUAAGACAGAGGGUGCAAACGUUGUUCGGAAUUACUGGGCGUAAAGCGCGUGUAGGCUGCCCUGCAAGUCAGGUGUGAAAGCCCUGGGCUCAACCUAGGAAGUGCACUUGAAACUGCGGGGAUCGAGUACUGGAGAGGGAAGCGGAAUUCUCGGUGUAGAGGUGAAAUUCGUAGAUAUCGAGAGGAACACCGGUGGCGAAGGCGGCUUCCUGGACAGUAACUGACGCUGAGACGCGAAAGCGUGGGGAGCAAACAGGAUUAGAUACCCUAGUAGUCC
rnacentral:rRNA from 1 species